rnacentral:rRNA from 1 species
UUUAACUGAAGAGUUUGAUCAUGGCUCAGAUUGAACGCUGGCGGCAGGCUUAACACAUGCAAGUCGAGCGGGGGAAGGUAGCUUGCUACCGGACCUAGCGGCGGACGGGUGAGUAAUGCUUAGGAAUCUGCCUAUUAGUGGGGGACAACAUCUCGAAAGGGAUGCUAAUA